AUUGAACGCUGGCGGCAUGCUUUACACAUGCAAGUCGAACGGUAACAGGCCGCAAGGUGCUGACGAGUGGCGAACGGGUGAGUAAUGCAUCGGAACGUGCCCAGUCGUGGGGGAUAACGCAGCGAAAGCUGCGCUAAUACCGCAUACGAUCUAUGGAUGAAAGCGGGGGACCGUAAGGCCUCGCGCGAUUGGACCGGCCGGUGUCAGAUUAGGUAGUUGGUGGGGUAAAGGCUCACCAAGCCAACGAUCUGUAGCUGGUCUGAGAGGACGACCAGCCACACUGGGACUGAGACACGGCCCAGACUCCUACGGGAGGCAGCAGUGGGGAAUUUUGGACAAUGGGCGCAAGCCUGAUCCAGCAAUGCCGCGUGCAGGAAGAAGGCCUUCGGGUUGUAAACUGCUUUUGUACGGAACGAAACGGCUCUGGUUAAUACCUGGGGCUAAUGACGGUACCGUAAGAAUAAGCACCGGCUAACUACGUGCCAGCCGCCGCCGUAAGAC
rnacentral:rRNA from 1 species